rnacentral:rRNA from 1 species
AAAGAUUAAGCCAUGCAUGUCUAAGUAUAAGCAAUUAUACCGCGAAACUGCGAAUGGCUCAAUAAAUCAGUUAUCGUUUAUUUGAUAGUACCUUACUACAUGGAUAACCGUGGUAAUUCUAGAGCUAAUACAUGCUUAAAACCCCAACUUCGGGAGGGGUGUAUUUAUUAGAUAAGAAACCAACGCCCUUCGGGGCUUCUUGAUGAUUCAUGAUAACUUUACGGAUCGCAUGGCCUUGCGCCGGCGACGGUUCAUUCAAAUUUCUGCCCAAUCAACUUUCGAUGGUAAGGUAUUGGCUUACCAUGGUUU